rnacentral:rRNA from 1 species
AUUGAACGCUGGCGGCAGGCCUAACACAUGCAAGUCGAACGGUAGCACAGAGAGCUUGCUCUCGGGUGACGAGUGGCGGACGGGUGAGUAACGUCUGGGAAACUGCCCGAUGGAGGGGGAUAACUACUGGAAACGGUAGCUAAUACCGCAUAACGUCGCAAGACCAAAGUGGGGGACCUUCGGGCCUCACACCAUCGGAUGUGCCCAGAUGGGAUUAGCUAGUAGGUGGGGUAAUGGCUCACCUAGGCGACGAUCCCUAGCUGGUCUGAGAGGAUGACCAGCCACACUGGAGAUGAGACACGGUCCAGACGCCUACGGGAGGCAGCAGUGGGGAAUAUUGUACAAUGGGCGCAAGCCUGAUGCAGCCAUGCCGCGUGUAUGAAGAAGGCCUUCGGGUUGUAAAGUACUUUCAGCGGGGAGGAAGGCGGUGGAGUUAAUAACUUCACCGAUUGACGUUACCCGCAGAAGAAGCACCGGCUAACUCCGUGCCAGCAGCCGCAGUAA